GUGGUAUACGAUGGAUCCGCGUCUGAUUAGCUAGUUGGCGGGGUAAAGGCCCACCAAGGCGACGAUCAGUAGCCGGCCUGAGAGGGUGAACGGCCACAUUGGGACUGAGACACGGCCCAAACUCCUACGGGAGGCAGCAGUGGGGAAUAUUGCACAAUGGGGGAAACCCUGAUGCAGCGACGCCGCGUGAGUGAAGAAGUAUUUCGGUACGUAAAGCUCUAUCAGCAGGGAAGAAAAUGACGGUACCUGACUAAGAAGCCCCGGCUAACUACGUGCCAGCAGCCGCGGUAAUACGUAGGGGGCAAGCGUUAUCCGGAUUUACUGGGUGUAAAGGGAGCGUAGACGGCAGCGCAAGUCUGGAGUGAAAUCCCAUGGCUUAACCAUGGAACUGCUUUGGAAACUGUGCAGCUAGAGUGCAGGAGAGGUAAGCGGAAUUCCUAGUGUAGCGGUGAAAUGCGUAGAUAUUAGGAGGAACACCAGUGGCGAAGGCGGCUUACUGGACUGUAACUGACGUUGAGGCUCGAAAGCGUGGGGAGCAAACAGGAUUAGAUACCCUGGUAGUCCACGCUGUAAACGAUGAUUACUAGGUGUUGGGGGACCAAGGUCCUUCG
rnacentral:rRNA from 1 species